CAGCCGCCGCGGUAAUACGAAGGGGGCUAGCGUUGUUCGGAAUUACUGGGCGUAAAGCGCACGUAGGCGGAUAUUUAAGUCAGGGGUGAAAUCCCGCAGCUCAACUGCGGAACUGCCUUUGAUACUGGGUAUCUUGAGUAUGGAAGAGGUUAGUGGAAUUGCGAGUGUAGAGGUGAAAUUCGUAGAUAUUCGCAGGAACACCAGUGGCGAAGGCGGCUAACUGGUCCAUAACUGACGCUGAGGUGCGAAAGCAUGGGGAGCAAACAGGAUUAGAUACCCCCGUAGUCCCUGUCUCUUAUAC
rnacentral:rRNA from 1 species